UAGAUCAAGAGUGUGCUCGGGUUCUCCACCGGCAGCACAGCCCUUCUGACACUCUGGGUAAUGCAGAAGGCUGCAGUGUUGGGGAGUCUACAUAUUCUCCGUUCUUGGUGGGUUCGA